rnacentral:rRNA from 1 species
UACGUAGGGGGCAAGCGUUACCCGGAUUUACUGGGUGUAUAGGGAGCGUAGACGGGCAAGCAAGUCUGAUGUGAAAUCCCACGGCUCAACCGUGGAACUGCAUUGGAAACUGUUAGUCUUGAGUACCGGAGGGGUGAGCGGAAUUCCUGGUGUAGCGGUGAAAUGCGCAGAUAUCAGGAAGAACACCGGCGGCGAAGGCGGCUCACUGGACGGUAACUGACGUUGAGGCUCGAAAGCGUGGGGGGCAAAC